GAUGAACGCUGGCGGCGUGCCUAAUACAUGCAAGUCGAGCGAACGGACGAGAAGCUUGCUUCUCUGAUGUUAGCGGCGGACGGGUGAGUAACACGUGGAUAACCUACCUAUAAGACUGGGAUAACUUCGGGAAACCGGAGCUAAUACCGGAUGAUAUUUUGAACCGCAUGGUUCAAAAGUGAAAGACGGUCUUGCUGUCACUUAUAGAUGGAUCCGCGCUGCAUUAGCUAGUUGGUAAGGUAACGGCUUACCAAGGCAACGAUGCAUAGCCGACCUGAGAGGGUGAUCGGCCACACUGGAACUGAGACACGGUCCAGACUCCUACGGGAGGCAGCAGUAGGGAAACUUCCCCAAUGGGCGAAAGCCUGACGGAGCAACGCCGCGUGAGUGAUGAAGGUCUUCGGAUCGUAAAACUCUGUUAUUAGGGAAGAACAUAUGUGUAAGUAACUGUGCACAUCUUGACGGUACCUAAUCAGAAAGCCACGGCUAACUACGUG
rnacentral:rRNA from 1 species